rnacentral:rRNA from 1 species
AUUCCAGCUCCAAUAGCGUAUAUUAAAGUUGUUGCAGUUAAAAAGCUCGUAGUUGGAUUUCAGUCUUAAUUCGCCUGGCCCGCUCCCUUGAGGAGCCGAGUGCCGGUUGCGAAUUGGACUUCCUUCUAGCAUGAAUCUCCUACCGUUAUGCGGCCGGGAAGGACAUCUGGAUCAUUUACUUUGAAGAAAUUAGAGUGUUCAAAGCGAGCUUACGCUGUGAAUAUAUUAGCAUGGAAUAAUAACAUAGGACUCGGGUUCUAUUUUGUUGGUUUCUAGGACUCAAGUAAUGAUUGAUAGGGACAGUUGGGGGUGCUGUUAUUAUAUGGCCAGAGGUGAAAUUCACGGAUUCAUAUAAGAGCAACUUAUGCGAAAGCAUUCACCAAGGAUGUCUUCAUCA